AACGAACGCUGGCGGCAGGCCUAACACAUGCAAGUCGAGCGAGGACUUCGGUUCUAGCGGCGGACGGGUGCGUAACGCGUGGGAAUGUGCCCUUCUCUACGGAAUAUCCCUGGGAAACUGGGAGUAAUACCGUAUACGCCCUAUUGGGGAAAGAUUUAUCGGAGCAGGAUCAGCCCGCGUUGGAUUAGGUAGUUGGUGGGGUAAUGGCCUACCAAGCCGACGAUCCAUAGCUGGUUUGAGAGGAUGAUCAGCCACACUGGGACUGAGACACGGCCCAGACUCCUACGGGAGGCAGCAGUGGGGAAUCUUAGACAAUGGGGGCAACCCUGAUCUAGCCAUGCCGCGUGAGUGAUGAAGGCCUUAGGGUUGUAAAGCUCUUUCAGCUGGGAAGAUAAUGACGGUACCAGCAGAAGAAGCCCCGGCUAACUCCGUG
rnacentral:rRNA from 1 species